rnacentral:rRNA from 1 species
CCUACGGGAGGCAGCAGUGGGGAAUUUUGGACAAUGGGCGAAAGCCUGAUCCAGCAAUGCCGCGUGUGGGAAGAAGGCCUUCGGGUUGUAAACCACUUUUGUACGGAACGAAACGGUUCGCUUUAAUACAGUGGGCUAAUGACGGUACCGUAAGAAUAAGCACCGGCUAACUACGUGCCAGCAGCCGCGGUAAUACGUAGGGUGCGAGCGUUAAUCGGAAUUACUGGGCGUAAAGCGUGCGCAGGCGGUCAUAUAAGACAGUUGUGAAAUCCCCGGGCUCAACCUGGGAAUUGCAUCUGUGACUGUAUAGCUAGAGUACGGUAGAGGGGGAUGGAAUUCCGCGUGUAGCAGUGAAAUGCGUAGAUAUGCGGAGGAACACCGAUGGCGAAGGCAAUCCCCUGGACCUGUACUGACGCUCAUGCACGAAAGCGUGGGGAGCAAACAGGAUUAGAUACCCUGGUAGUCCACGCCCUAAACGAUGUCAACUGGUUGUUGGGUGCAUUAGUACUCAGUAACGAAGCUAACGCGUGAAGUUGACCGCCUGGGGAGUACGGCCGCAAGGUUGAAACUCAAAGAGUAGUAGCGUGNGAGAGCGACGACGACGACGACGGAGGAGG